UAAAAAUGUAAAAUAUUUUGGAGUAGUAUUAAAUAUAUUUACAAACUCAAAAAAUUUGGCGGUAUUUUAUCUUAUCAGAGGAACUUGUUAAUUAAUUGAUAUUCCACAAUUAUAAUAUACUUUUAUUAAUAUACUUGUAUACCGCUGUCAUGAAUAUAUUUAAAAGUUUAUUUUCCAUCGUUUUUAUUAAAUUUAUGUUAGGUCAAGGUGCAGUUUAUAAAAGAACAUAAUGGGUUACAUUAUAUAUGAUGUAUGGAUUUAAUAAAUUUUAUUUUUUAGUAAAACAGGAUUUGAAAGUAACUUUGUUAAUAAAAAUAAUAUGAAUUUAGAUUCUAAAAUAUGU
rnacentral:rRNA from 1 species